AUGUAGACUCCCAGUCCACAGCAGUGGCGGAGAAAUUAUGGAAACAACUGUGGUGUUUUUGUUUGCACAAUGGCAGAGAUGGAAGCAGAAGGUCUCAAAAUGUCUCCUGAGUUGCUUCACACUGACCAGUUGAUUCAUCUUCGACUUUACCAUGCCUCCUGUUUGGUUGAAAAUCUACAAACGGAGGACUUUCAGCCAAAGAUUACAAUGUGUAAAGCUGAAAACAGAUGUAUGGCCCAGGACCUUGGUGUUAGAAAUUCGGAUAAAAACCAUGCAUCCAGAUGUUAAAACACUGCAAUGGAUUCAGUGUGACAGUUGUAACAAAUGGUUGCACAGUGACU